UGAAUACAUAUGUAGUAGUUAAGUCUGUGAAUACAUAUGUAGUAGUUUAGUCUGUUGUUAUCAUUUUUUCAUCUUCAUUUAAAUAGAUUUCCAUUUAUGCUGUACUAAAUGUAUUAUAUUAUAUUAUAUAUAUUAUUUCUAUUAGCUAAAUUUUUAUAUUAUUUUUUCACUUGUAUUAUAUUUUUUAAAAAUUCCUCUUGUAUUGAAUUCUAUGGGGUAUGUUUCACAAAGUGCAUCUUAUUUCAUUGUAUGGUAAUUUGAUGCGUUGCAGACUUGUUACCAUGUACUAGUUUAUUGAAGCAAACAAAGUUUUAGACUGCUGAAAUAACCUUGUUUUUUUGGAACUUGAAUCUUCUGUUUAAUUUGUAAAAUCUUUUUUAAUUCAUUUAAAUAGUAUACAGAAAACUAAGUAGACAGCAAUAUGACUUCCAUUUAGAGAUUGUUUAUAUACUAGGUUAUUUCUACAAAAGUAAUCAUUCUUGUUUCAAAGGAAAUUAAUUCUCAAUAAGGGGAGACAAUCACAGCACAAUAUGAAAAUUACUAGGUAAGUAAAUAAAAUCAUUGUGUAACAAUGCAAAUGGUAUCAAAAAUAUUUCCCUAAAUCCUUCUUAUUCCAAGGCAGAUGAAAUAAAUGAUCUUUUUCAAAAUUUAUAGGUUAUUGCUGUGCAAGAUUUACA
rnacentral:lncRNA from 1 species